AGGGUCGGAGCUAGAGGCCAAUAUACGAGUUCAUCUGAACUUAGUAGCUUUAGUCAAACCAUGUGUUUGUAUCAAGAGAAAUGUGCUAUGUAUGUACAUAAAUUCGAUGUUACCAUCCUAGAAUUUCAAUAGAAUGCAUGAAAGUUCAAAUCCUAGCUCCGCCUCUCUAUAUGCUCCAAAUAAUACAGGCUGGAUUUCUUCUAAUCACAAGGUAGUGGAAAAGGAACCACCACCUUCAUGUCUAAUCCAGCAUCACCAAAUCCAAUGCCAUAACCUCCAUUUUCUAAAUCUUGCAUUUGAACAAUUUCAACAAGACAACCAAUAGGCUAUUUCUGUUUUACCUUAGAUGAGUAUCAUCAUAUGUGUCGAAAACAUUAUCCGGCAUGAUCAAUGGUAACUUCUCUAUAUACAUGAACAACCUUCUUA
rnacentral:misc_RNA from 1 species